UCCCACACGCUCACCUGGCUGAGCCGCAGUAGUUCUUCAGUGGCAAGCUUUAUGUCCUGACCCAGCUAAAGCUGCCAGUUGAAGAACUGUUGCCCUCUGCCACUGGCUUCGAGGAGGAAG
rnacentral:pre_miRNA from 14 species